AUUGCUUCUUGGCCUUUUGACUAAGAUCAAGUGUAGUAUCUGUUCUUAUCAGUUUAAUAAUUUUUCCUCUAAAGCCUAUUUGAUAUGCUAUUAAUAUAGAGAUAGGUCUUUAAAAAUUAAAUCUGACAAUCUCU
rfam:Pteropus alecto contig41276, whole genome shotgun sequence.